rnacentral:rRNA from 1 species
UCGGGAAUUUUGGGCAAUGGGCGAAAGCCUGACCCAGCAACGCCGCGUGAAGGAUGAAAUCCUUCGGGAUGUAAACUUCGCAAGAACGGGAAGAAUAAGUAAGAGUUAAUAUCUCUUACGAUGACGGUACUGUUUGUAAGCUCCGGCUAACUACGUGCCAGCAGCCGCGGUAAUACGUAGGCAGCGAGCGUUGUUCGGAGUUACUGGGCGUAAAGGGUGUGUAGGCGGUCCUCUAAGUUUGGUGUGAAAUCUCCCGGCUCAACCGGGAGGGUGCGCCGAAAACUGGGGGACUAGAGUGCGGGAUGGGAGAGUAGAAUUCCUGGUGUAGUGGUGAAAUGCGUAGAUAUCAGGAGGAAUACCGGUGGUGUAGACGGCUCUCUGGACCGCAACUGACGCUGAGACACGAAAGCGUGGGUAGCAAAC